GAUAAGCACAUUUUUGUUUUGUUCUAAUAGUUGUUAGUUGCUGCUGAGUCGAUUCUGACUCAUAGAGACCCCAUGUGUUUUCAGAGUAGACCCGCUCCACAGAAUUUUCAAGGCUGUGACCUUUUGGAAGCAGAUUGCCAGGCCCGUCUUGUGAGGCACCUCUGGGGAUGUAAGCCUGCAGAAAUCUCUGGCCACCUGACCUACAGUUUUUGAAUUUGCCAACCUCGGCAAUCCCAUGAGCCAGCAGGGGCCUCUGGCCUGUCUCCUGACCUGCAGAUUUUGGAUUCAUCAGCCCCUGCAACCACCCCAUGCCUUACUUCUACUCACAACUGAAGUUGGCAUUUCAAAGUCCUCAGUCCUCUGGAUUCUCCUGGGCAGAUUAUCUUUCUACUACAGCCCUUUCGGUAUGUAUACUUUAUAUCAUCUCCCUUUGCCUUUCUUUAUCAAUCACUAGGUUAUCAUGCGCUUUCGGUUUUCCUGAAAUUUGUCGAGACCAUCUUUUGAGUGUCACCCUUUCCACUCUCUCUCUCAUUGUUGGUUUAUAUCGUUUUUGUGUAUAUAUCCACUAUUGGUUUCAGUGGGUCUUGGGAUAGAGAAGAGGUGAACAUAUGCACUCUGUCAUUCAUUUUGAGUGUUUUUUCUUGGAGUGAGGAAAUGACCAUUCUCAUUUAUUUAUUUGUUCAUUCAACAAAUAUUUAUUAAGUGUUUACUAAUUCUAUGCCAUGCAAUGAGAAUAUACUGAUGAGCAAAACCAUAAAG